UACGGAGGGUGCAAGCGUUAUCCGGAUUCACUGGGUUUAAAGGGUGCGUAGGCGGGUUGGUAAGUCCGUGGUGAAAUCUCCGAGCUUAACUCGGAAACUGCCGUGGAUACUAUCAAUCUUGAAUAUCGUGGAGGUAAGCGGAAUAUGUCAUGUAGCGGUGAAAUGCUUAGAGAUGACAUAGAACACCAAUUGCGUAGGCAGCUUACUAAACGAUCAUUGACGCUGAGGCACGAAAGCGUGGGGAGCAAACAGG
rnacentral:rRNA from 1 species